rnacentral:rRNA from 1 species
UGCCAGCCGCCGCGGUAAUACGAAGGGAACUAGCGUUGUUCGGAUUUACUGGGCGUAAAGAGCAUGUAGGCGGAUUGGACAGUUGGAGGUGAAAUCCCGGAGCUCAACUCCGGAACCUGCCUUCAAUACUUCCAGUCUAGAAUCUGUAAGGGGGUGGUGGAAUUCCGAGUGUAGAGGUGAAAUUCGUAGAUAUUCGGAGGAACACCAGUGGCGAAGGCGACCACCUGGUACAGUAUUGACGCUGAGAAGCGAAAGCGCGGGGGGCUAACAGGAUCUGGUA